ACAACUCUGGGCCCGCAAUGGCAGUCCACUGCCUUGCUGCAGUCACAGAAUGGAAAUCUGCAGAGGCCUCCGCAGUCACCUAAUCACUCUCCUCCUCUUCCUGUUCCAUUCAGAGACGGUCUGCCGACCCUCUGGGAGAAAAUCCAGCAAGAUGCAAGCCUUCAGAAUCUGGGAUGUUAACCAGAAGACCUUCUAUCUGAGGAACAACCAACUAGUGGCUGGAUACUUGCAAGGACCAAAUGUCAAUUUAGAAGGUGAGUGGUUGCCAGGAAAGCCAAUGUAUGUGGGCAUUGCGUCACUUUGCCCCUCUGUCUGCAGCAGCAUGGCCUGCCUGCACAAACCCUAGGUGCAAUGUCCUAAUCCUUGUUGGGUCUUUGUAUUCAAGUUUGAAGCUGGGAGGGCCUGGCUACUAAAGGGCACAUAUGAGGGCAGCCUGAAGAGGGUGUGGAGAGGUAGAGUCUAGGUCAGGGGUCAGUGCCUAUAGGCACAGUGGUCCCAGGGCCACAGCUGGGAAGGGCAAAUACCCGAAGGCAAGGUUGACUAUUCCCUUCCUCAAGUGCCUAUUAAGGCUC
rnacentral:sRNA from 1 species